rnacentral:tRNA from 1 species
GGGCCGCUAGCUCAAUUGGUAGAGCAGCAGACUCUUAAUCUGCGGGUUGAAGGUUCGAGUCCUUCGCGGCUCACCA